rnacentral:rRNA from 1 species
CCCUUAGAUGUUCUGGGCUGCACGCGCGCUACACUGAAGCGUUCAACGAGUAUUCACCUUGCCCGGGAGGGUUGGGUAAUCUUUUGAAAACGCUUCGUGAUGGGGAUAGAUUAUUGCAAUUAUUAAUCUUCAACGAGGAAUUCCUAGUAAGCGCGAGUCAUCAGCUCGUGCUGAUUACGUCCCUGCCCUUUGUACACACCGCCCGUCGCUCCUACCGAUUGAAUGGUCCGGUGAAAUGUUCGGACCGCGACAAGGCGGACGGUUCGCUGUCAGCUUUGCUGCGGGAAGUUCAUUAAACCUUAUCAUUUAGAGGAAGGAGAANUCGUAACA